CUUAAAUGUAGAGUGCAUUUUUUAGAGAUAGAAAUUCCCUUCGGGGCUUUCUGCAAGGUGCUGCAUGGUUGUCGUCAGCUCGUGCCGUGAGGUGUCGGGUUAAGUCCCAUAACGAGCGCAACCCUUAUCGUUAGUUGCCAUCUGGUAAUGCAGGGGACUCUAGCGAAACUGCCACCGUAAGGUGAGAGGAAGGUGGGGAUGACGUCAAAUCAGCACGGCCCUUAUGUCCAGGGCUACACACGUGUUACAAUGGUCGGUACAGAGGGCAGCUACCUGGUGACAGGAUGCUAAUCUCGAAAACCGGUCUCAGUUCGGAUCGAAGUCUGCAACUCGACUUCGUGAAGCUGGAUUCGCUAGUAAUCGCGGAUCAGCAUGCCGCGGUGAAUACGUUCCCGGGCCUU
rnacentral:rRNA from 1 species